rnacentral:tRNA from 1 species
GCAGUGAUGGCCGAGUGGUUAAGGUCUCUGACUAGAAGUCAGAUGGGAUCCUCCCGCGUAGUUCGAAUCCUACUCACUGCG